GUCGCAUUGACGUAAGAAGAGUUGUAUUUUUAUAGAAAGAAAAUAUUUUGCCUAAUCGCCUUCAAAGGAGCCUUGUACACAAUCUCUAGAGGAGAGUGUGCACAGAGGAGAGAUCAUGUGAGGACACAGCGAGAAGACAAUCAUCUGUAAGCCAAGGAGAGAGGCCUCAGAAAAAAAUCCACCCUGCUAAGAGCUUGAUCUUGGACUUA
rnacentral:lncRNA from 1 species